GACGAGGGGUCCUAGCGUUGUUCGGAAUCAUUGGGCGUAAAGCGUAUGUAGGCUGCCAUUCAAGUCAGUUGUGAAAUCCCCGGGCUUAACCCGGGAAGUGCUUCUGAUACUGUUUGGCUUGAGUACUGGAGAGGAUAGUAGAAUUCCUGGUGUAGUGGUGAAAUACGUAGAUAUCAGGAGGAAUACCGGUGGCGAAAGCGGCUCACUGGACCACAACUGACGCUGAGGCGCGAAAGCUAGGGGAGCAAACAGG
rnacentral:rRNA from 1 species